GUUGAAAUCCAGCAGACCAUUGUUGUGCGGCUGGCAUAUGUAUGGCUUACCAAUAAAAAGUGACAACUGGGUUGAAUUAUAGCCAAUGGAGCAUAGAAAAUUCACGUAAUCUUUAGUCGUUAAGUCAUAGACCAGGCCUGGGUCCAUUGCACGGCAAGGCCAGAUGUGCCCGGCACCAUAAUUCAAUGGGUUUGCCUCAAGAAGAGAAGCAUUUGCAAUAGGCUGCUUCACAUUACUGAUCGUUGUCGCUGAAAUGUCAUAAGCAACCACUCAAGCUGUCAAUGACUCGUACACCAAUAACUUGGAGAUGCUAAUGCGAAGAGCAGAAAAGCACUAACCUGUUGUCAUGAUUGCAGAUUUAAUUGCAGCAGGACUCCAAUCAGGGUGCAUAGUGUUGAGAAGACCUGCGAUUCCGGAAACAUGGGGGCAUGCCAUUGAGGUUCCAGAUAUAAAGUUGAAAUGUACUCGGCGCCGGUCUCCUGGCACGUCAGUUGGCCCUGAUGCUCCUGUGAAGGCAGCUAGAAUAUUGACUCCAGGUGCAGUGAUGUCGGGCUGAAAUCAUCACAUGCACUCUCACUAUAAAAAUAAUAUUGAGCAUGUAUUUUAAAACGCUCAUGUGAAUCUAUUAAGAGUACCUUAAGGAUCUCCGGGGUGAUGAAGUUAGGCCCAGGAGAUGAAAAAUCAGCCAUGACAGGUGCAGCCACUGUUCCCACCUCCGUGGCGCCACUUAUGUAAGCUACAGGUGACCUGAGUGAAAAGAGAAGUUCCAAGAGAUUCACAGGAUCACAAACGAUAGAUUGUUCCGGGCAUUAUCGACUGAAAUCAACCACGUUUAAUUGUCUGAAUUACCAAUUAACGUAGGCCUUACUUUGUACUAUAGACAUAAGUUAAAAUGGAAAGUCCAUCGUCAGCAGAGAUAACGGAAGUAGGAACAAAGUGUGCCCGAGGUCGGAUUUGUUGAAUUAUCAAUUGAUUAGCAAGUAUCACCCCAACACCACCAGCUUGAGCAACAACCAGACUCUUUUCUACAUCAGGAUCUUCGUUGCGAGUACAAUAUACAAUUUUUCCUUUAACUUUCAAGGGGUCAAGGGAUCCGAUGGAGCAAUAUUUUCUGCCAAAUACAACAAGAUAAAAAUAUGAACCUAACAACUACAGAAAAUGUAAUUUUGGCUGAGAACAAAAUUAGUUUGCUGCUUACGCUUGAUUACUGGAAACAUUGGCAGCUUUAGCAUCCACCGAAUUGAUCAAGGGGUAAGACUUCCCAGCUGGUUGAGUAUUGGUAUUAAAACUCACACCCUGAUUAUUUAGAAAUUAAUAUAUCGAAUUUCUGGAUCCCAUGAUAGGUAGAACAAUUUACAACGACUUGCUAAAGAUAUGAGCUUACAGAACAAACCUUGUAUUGUUUGUUAUUUCCAAGGAUGACAUUAGAUGUGAAAUCCCUACUGAUAGUGCUAUAACCAACUGUAAGAAUCCAAGGAGCUACAUUCCCAACGACUCCAGGGUCAGGUCCAUCAUUUCCAGCGGCGGCAACUACAAGAAUCCCGCGCUCCAUGGCAAGAAAUGCUCCAAUUGCAAUCCCAUCAGUAAUGUAUUCUUCCUGACCGGAUCCAAGUGACACUGAGAGGAUAUCGACCCCAUCAUGAAUAGCAGCUUCAUAGCCAGCCAACACAUCAGCAUCGCUACAGCGGGGCCAGCAGACCUUGUAUGAAGCGACUCGCGAGUUGGGCGAACCUCCCUUCGCUGUUCCAUAUGCUGAACCAAGUAAGUUUGCCCCCGAAACAAAACGACCUCCAGCAGUGGAUAGAGUGUGGGUUCCAUGGCCAUCAUAAUCUCGCGCGGUGUGGUAUGAAGAAUCAUGUGUUUCUGCUGCUUCGUAGCCUUUGCUAAAGUAUCUUGCUCCUAUAAGUUUCCUGCUAAUAACAACAUAUCUUUUAUGUUACCAAUCUUACUAUAGGAAACGGAAGAAUUUGCCUGCGGUUCAUUAUCAGAGGAAAAAUGAGAAGUUCAGGUCAAGAAAAGAGCUCUGGCCUUGAGAAAGAAAUUAAAGUACCUGUUGCAUUUAAUCCCAUCAUUUGGGUCACAGUAUCCCUUCCAUUUAGACGGAACAGGCCCCAUCCCUUCAUCAUUGAAGCUUUCGGAUUCUGGCCAAACACCUAGCAUCAUGCACAGUCAAGAAUAAUAGAUUGAAAAUUAACCAUCAUUGGAGAUUUUUCUUUCAUAAGCAAGGUAGCUGUAGCUGGUCCAAAAUAAUUGAAUGCAAGAAACAUUUAAAUUAAGAAGAUGAAAUGAUAUGAAGGAGACUUGACCAGUUCUAUGCAUGUACACAGAAAAGUAAAAUUAGAAUUACCACUAUCAAGGGUCCCGAUAAUUACAUCUUCACCAAAUCUUGCCUUUAGCCACAUAGAAUCAGCUGGAAUUUCUCCAUUUCUUUCCAGUCCAAGAAAGCCCCAUGAAUUUGUUGUGUGUAAUUGACUUAUUCGGUUUCGAGAAACUGAUACAACUUCUGGAUGCUCUGAAAACGUAUUAACAAGACCAUAUUUGUAAUAUUAUCAAGGAUUGCACGACAUACGUGCUGAACAAUUAUAAUAGUAUUAUAUAUACUUGAAAUUUCAGCUGCUUCUUCAUCUUCAAGUAUUGCUGCAAAGCCGUUGAUAUAACGAGUGUAGGAGUAAAAGAUGGCUUGUUUCGCCUUCUCCUUGCUGUCAUAACGAAUUCAAACUUGAUCAUCAGUAUUAGAACAACCAAAUACACCAUUGAUCACAGAUCUGAAAUUUUCAGCACUGCAUCACCUCUUCAUACAAGAACCCAAAAGUUCAUGAUGGGCAUCGGUUACCCUAUCCAGGUCAGUGGUGGAAGGUUCAGAAGCAUAAGAUUGUCUCCCAAGGUAAACCACAUAAGACUGUACGUACACAGACACAGGUAUCACUGUCAGUAGCAGAAUUAUAACAUAAGAGAGAUUGCUGAUGUAACUUGAAAGACUAAACGAUCAGACAACAUUAAUGCAUGCUAGCUUGCCUUUUUUGCAGCCAGAAUUGGACUCUGCAAGGUUGUGAAAAGAGUGAAAAACAGAAACAGAGAGCGAGAAGCUGUCCUCCUGCUCAUGCUUGCUUUACUUUUUGCUCUACAAGAGAAUAACGAUUAACACAAACCCUUUAUGCAUAUAGUAUGGCAUUCUAAAAUUACCAAAUAAAAAAAAUGCACAAUAUAAUUAAAAGAUAGAAACAUGAAAUAAUAAUAAUUUUUUAGCAGAAUUGUUAUUAGUUUUUAAUGAGUCCAAUAUCAUUUUCUCCUUUGUGUCUCUGUUCACUAUACUUUAAAUAUCUAGUAGUCUGGGAUGGUUUUUUGAGUUUUUUUUUUUUGACAUUUUGUAAUAAUUGAGGGGCUUAUAUGUGAUUUCAUCUGUUGUGGAAAUUUGGUAAUAUCAGAAUGGAACCCCUGUAGAUCAAAUAAGUGGUUUCCAUCUUAUCAACCCUCGUCUCCUUCUCCUUUACCUUCCAUUUCUCUCACCCUCAAAACCACGGACGUCAAAGCUUUAAAGAAGAAGAGUCAAAGUCUCAAAAAUAACCUCAAUGGUCUUAAUUUUGUCAUUAAUUAAUUAUGUAUAUUUAUUUUACUCUUAAACUUUUAAAAAUUACUUAUUAAUGACUUACUUUCAUCUUUAAGACUUUCCAACUGUGUUUUUCUUUGUGUCCCAAGAUAUUGAAAGAAAAAUGAAAAUUGUCCUUACAUAAUAUUAUUUUCAAAAUAUAUUUUUAUUUUUUAUGUGUGAGAAUUUGGACAUGUGAGUUUGUCUGUUCCUGGCAAUACCCUUCCAAGCUAAUAUUCUAACUAUAAUGUCAGUAGUUGCUUUCAAGAAGUAGAGUCUAAAUUAUAAAUAUUCUAACUACGGUGACAAUAUUGUUUUUAAAUUAUAAAUAUAAAUAUUUGUAUAACCUUGACCUUAAGUUUUAAUUGUUAAUAUUAUUUAUAAAUAAUUCUAUUAUUUGAAUUUGAAUUUUCUAGAUGUGUAUGAAUUUAUUUUCUUAUUCAUGUUUUUUUUUAAUACCUUUCUUUGAUGCAACGAACAAAUUUAGGUUGGAUCGAUAUGAUCUCAUAUAGACCUAUUAAGUGCCAAGGAUGGUCUUUAGAUCCAUAUCAAUCAACAUAAUCUUGAAUAGGUUUAUACCUAUCAAUUUCUCAUCUUUUUUGCGGGUCUAAUGCUUGUUUUUCACAAGUGAAAAUUGUGUCUUGUUACUAGGUUCAAGUCUCAAAUCAUUGUCUUAAGUCAUAAUAGUAUUUUACCUUUAAUAACAAACAAUCAUAUGUCAGUUUAGACAAACUCUUAGCGUGCAAGCACAUUAGACACCUUUAUCAUUAAAAACAAGCAUGAAGUAACUUACCUUAGAUACGAUAUAUAGGUUAAUUAUUAUCUUUCUUAUUAUAUAACCAGCUCCUUACUCAAAACCUUUUCUAUUUUUAACUUUUUUUACAUAUAGUUUAUUGAGAUGUCCUAUGGGACACUAGGUAUGUCAUCACAUUAAGACUUUGUUUAUUUCAUGAAACCACUUUUCAAGAAGCUACUUUUAAAACUUUUCCAUGUUUGGUGAACUCUAGAAAAGUAGUUUUCAACGAAAGAAAAAAAAUAAGUUUUUCCCAAAAUAUUUCUAUCUUUUUUGCUUUGAAAAAUACUUUUCUUUUCUUGACAAAAAAUAAACCUCAUACAGAUUCACCUUUCACAAAUAUCUCUCUCCUUGUCCCUUUUCCUUUUCUUUUCUAUUUUCUGCAGAAUCAAGAUUGAAGCUUCCUUGAAUCCCCGUAAUUUCAGGUAAUCCUCUUCCUCAAAUCCUUUUCUUUAUCACCUUUUCCUAUUAUUUUAGUUAUAUGUUAUCUAUUUUCCUUUUUUAAUUAGAAUUUUUAGUGGUGAUUGUGGAGUGGGUCUUGGUCGAAUCUUGUUAAUUUAGGAUCUUGUUACUAUUCCUCGAAUAUUCUUAAAUUCACUACAAGGUUUAAUGUUAUUUGUUAUCAACUAUUCUGAUUAUACAUUAAAAGUAGAAUUUUCUAGGUAGUAUUACUACUAUGUUUAAAAUGGGUACACUUGUUCCAAAACAACACCUAAAAUAUUUUGGAAAAUUUUGAGGUUAGAUUAAUUGUAGUGCAAUAUGUGAUUUGAUACUAGCAAUAAUUUUCCUGGGUAGAAUUAUGAAGCCUAUAGUAAAAGAAAAAAAAAUUAGGAUAAGUAGAUAAUAUAAAUAGAUCUUUCAUAUUUUUUGACAUCUACAAAAUGUAUCGAUAUCCUUUUGUUCUCCAUGGUAUAAAAGGUUGUCUUGAACAGUGAUAAAAUGUAAAGGCCUAUGCUAUCUACUUGAGUCUUGGACAUGGCUCAAAUUUAUGUUGUAACUAUAUUAUUUUCUUGGUAGAUUUUUUUUUCUCAUUUGUAGAGCUUUCUGUGAAGCAAGUUAUAUCUUUUAGUUUCAAUAAUUGCACCUUUUAGCUUAUUUAAUUAGAUUUUCACACAUUCUAAAAUUUCACUUUAUUAAAUACUAAAGUUACCACAAUAGCAUAACAUACCACAAUCAUUUAAACCUUAUUCUUCACCUUUUAGUAUUACAAGGAAAGAUUUUAUCUACCAACAAUUCUUUCCUUACAAUGUGUUACAGUUCACAUGAUUUUAUACUAUAGUUUGGCUUUUAUUAAGGCUCUUGCUCAAUGAUUAUGAUGUGUGUGUGUGUAAACACACACGUAUUCACCAGGGAUUUACUAACUAACAUUUGGUAGAUAUUGACUUCAAGGAAAGGAACCAAGUGAAUUGUAGUUUUCUUGGUUAUGAUUUUGUAGAAAAAAUCAUAACAUCAAUAACCUUAGACUUAUAUGUAUAAAAUGAGACAUUAAAAGAGAUGUGCUUGUUUAGUUAAAAAGACCUAUCAAUAUUCCUUUUCAUCUUUAUUUAUGAUAUUUGUUGGGUGUGUAAUAACAUUCUGAUUCUUUAUUUUUAUCUCUUAUUAAAAGAAACCAAUGUAAUCAGGUUAACUUGAUAUUCUUUAAUAAUCUUAUUUUUAUGAAAAACUAAUUAAUCAAUUAUAAUAUGCAACUCACAUGUUUAUUUUUAAUACUCUAUAGCCUACUCUUUUCAAUAUUAUUACUAAUUAUGUGGUUGAUAUACAAUGGAGUUUUGGCUAACAGAAGGAGAAGGAGGAGUCUAAACAUUUAUGUUAAAACACUUCUAAAAGAAAUCAUAUUAAAAUAUCUAAAGAUAGUUUAUCAAUAUGAAGAUUUCUUGUAAGGACUAUAUUCGUGAACUAUGUGCUGCCUUGUAUUUUAAUUAUUAUACUAAAAGCUUUAGUAUUCUUUGUAUGAUGCAUCCUGUAACAUAUUAUGAAGCAAUCAUAAUUUCUAAACAGACCUUCUUGAAAAUACAUCAAUGACAAGCUUAUCACUUCAUGAAUUCUUGUUUGUACCAUUUUGAGUCCAAUGUUUAACAUUUUUUCCAGUUUUUUUAAUAAAAAAAUUUCAGUUGGCCACACAUGUCACAACCUAUUACGACCAACUCAAAAUGUAUCUAUUAGAGAGUUAGUGAUUGUGUUCUUACAAAUUAUAGGCCGAAACUAAAGAUUUUGUUUUAUUAGUGGUAUUUACUACAGGUCUAUCGAAAUUAUUCAUUGUUACUUUAGAAUUAUAUUAAAUGCAUAUCUUAAGUUGUACAAACACCUUAUUAAAGACCAAAAAAAUAUGGUUCUUGUAAAAAUAAUGAAUAAUCAAAGAUUUUAUCUUUAUUUUAAGGUAUGUUACCAUUAUUUGUGUACAUUAAUUGAUUACACCAAGAAGAAAAAGUUUAUCAUUAUUGUUUCACAUUUAUACAAGAUUAUGUGGGAGCAAUUGAUGGUACCUAUGUUUUCGCAAAUGAUCAUUUUGAAAUUCAAAGAAAAUUUCAAGGUCGAAAAGAGGAAAUAAAAAAUAUUUUAUCAACUAUAACUUUUGAUUUAAAGCUUACAUAUGUUUUAGUUGGAUAGGAGGAAAGUGCACACAAUUCACGUGUUUUAGGUGAUGCACUGUCAAACCAAGUGGUAUAAAAGUUCCAGAAGGUAUAAAAUAUUUAUUAUAUGCAAUAAAUAUCUAAAAUGUCUAAUUAAAUAAAAAUAGUAAUAUAUUUUAUUUUUAUUUGUAGAUCACUAUUAUCUUAAUGAUGCCAAUUACAACAUUAAAAAAGGAAUCAUUUCUUUUUUUCAUGGAGUUUGAUAUCACUUAAAAUAGUUUACAUACCAUUCACCAUAAAAUGAAAAGGAUUUAUUUAAUCUUCGACACUCUUCAUUGAGAAUCAUUAUUGAGCAAGGGUUUUGUAUUUUGAAGAAUCAUUUUAGAGAAAUUGAUGGAAAACAUUUUUGGUCUUAUGAAACACAAGUGAAUAUUGUGCUCGCAUGUUGCAUUGUUCAUAAUCACAUAAUGGGAGCUGUCUUUUAUAAAUUUUUUAUGGAAGAAAUAUGUUCUGAAAAUAAACUAAUUAGACAAAUGAUCAAUUUAAGCCAAAGGGAGGAGAGAGAAGAAAAUAAUAGGGAGUAGACAACCAAAAAUAAAUGAUUAAUAUGUAUUUGUGUUUUUUUUUAUUAUGCAUUUCUUGAGUUUGUAUUGCUUUUGUUAUGUAUUUGAAUUGUUGAUGACUUUGUUAUAACUUCUUGUGUAUUUGAUGUAUUCUCUUUUAAAAGUUAAUUUAAAUAUUAUAUGAUUUGAUUUUGUAUAAAUUUAUAAUUAUUCUGGAGAAAAGAGUACCACAAAGAAUGAAAAAUAAAAAGGUAAGCACUUCACAUGAUCUAAAUCUAUGUCUUGCAUGCUAUUUAAAAUAUUAGUCGAAGAGACAUUAAAGAAAACAAGUCUUCUUUUAUAUUCAAAGCAAAAUUUGUUGUUAAGAUGGCUAUAUAAAAUAUUAAAAAGCUCAAUGUAUAAUGAGAAUCUAAGUAUGGGAGAAUCAUCUCAAAACUAUAAAAAAAUAAUGGAGAAUAAUAACCAAAUUAAAAAAUAAAUGUUUUAUGUAAAGUGUUUGUAUUUAUUUUCUAUUAAAGAGAUAAUUUCCUAAACCCCUUGCAAAAACAUAUAUUAUCAAAAAACCCAUCAAAGUAUUUUUAUAUCUAUUUAUCCCCAUUUCAAAAUCUUCAUACAAAAAAAAAAUCCAAAUAUCUAACUCUUAUUUUAUACCUUUAACUAAUUUAGCUUUUCAAUAUGAAAGAAAAAUCUACUUUGAGGUUUUAAAAAUGAAAAAAAUAUUAAUAGAUUUUACUUUUGAAAAAUAUUUAAUAAGGUUAUAUAUCUAUAAUAUUAUAUUUAAAAUAUUUAUAUUAUAUGUAUAAUUACAUUUUAUAAAAUAAACUAUAUAUAAAUAUAUGAUAUAAUGAAUUUUUUAUUUUUCACCAUUACACUUUUUAUAUAUAAUUUUUUUUUAUCGAAUAGUUACAUUUAUUGUUCUAUAAAUAUUAGUUAAACUUGAAAAAAAUUUAAUAAAUUAUUUUCAAGUUCAUUUCAUAUUAAAAUUAUUUGUUAGCUUAUUUUUUAUAACAUUAUGAGAUAUAUAAAAAAAUCAAAUUUUUUUUUUUAUAAAAAUCACUUUUUAAAAGUAAAUUAUUUUUCAAAAAACAAAAACAGACGUAAACUUCUCUACAAUUAAUAGUCUACAGUUGAUAAGAUUAUGUCUCUACUGAUGACUAAUCUUGAAAUUUUAUCAAAUAAAUUCCUUUCAAUGUCUCUCAAGAAAAACUUUUGAUGGAGUCCUGAACAACUUAUCUGGAAUUACAGGGUUAUAAAUAGGUUGCAUGUAUCAUCAAAUUAUCAUAGUCUAUUUCUAUUUUUAUGUUAUUUGAUAUCAUAAGAUUUUGUUUAUAAAUCAAAGAUGGUAAGAGUAGCCGAAUAUGAAGUAAGUAACCUAAUCAGUUGUCUUCUCCAUCUAUCGAAGUUGACAAACAGCAAAAGAUAAAAAAAAAACAGAGCCAUAAAUAACAUAAAAUAGAAAAACAAAAAUACUAAAGAAAAUACAAGAAAGAAACUAAACAAAAUCAAUAGAAAGUAGAUAAAAACCAUUAGAAAAUAUUCAUAAACAAAACCAUUUAUUUUUAUUUUAUUGCAAGUUCAAUUACUCGAAUAGAGGCAGAGAAAAAAAAGUUGACAGUGCUUGUUACAUUCGUUACUUGUCAUGACAUGGAACGGGAAUUUGAAGAUCGAUUUGGUGACCAUGGAGAUAUAUAGAUCUCUACACGCUGGCCUUCCACCUCCAAAUCCAUACGCCUGGUCAUUGUCCUUCAACCUUAGGCUGCUACUGCCAUCUUCUUCACCACAACAGGACUCCUCACAUGGUGUUUCCCAUCAGACCAAGUUAUCUCUCCAAACACGUAGUCAUUACUCUUAAACCCUUUCUUAGCCUCUAGAGUGACCUUGAACAUUUUCUCUUCGUUUAUCUUAUCGAACUUCAAGCUUCUUGGCUCAACCUUCACAGAUAUCCCUCCAGGUGCCCUGAUAUUAACUCUAUACAAGCUUGGAGUCCCCACGUUCUUCAAGGUUCGGGACAAUGUGGCCUUGCUUGACAGAUUCGGGACAGUGAUGGAUGGAUAGUUGAAAUCCAGCAGACCAUUGUUGUGCGGCUGGCAUAUGUAUGGCUUACCAAUAAAAAGUGACAACUGGGUUGAAUUAUAGCCAAUGGAGCAUAGAAAAUGCACGUAAUCUUUAGUCGUUAGGUCAUAGACCAAGCCUGGGUCCAUUGCACGGCUAGGCCAGACAUGCCCGGCACCAUAAUUCAAUGGGUUUGCCUCAAGAAGAGAAGCAUUUGCAAUAGGCUGCCUCACAUUACUGAUCGUUG
rnacentral:lncRNA from 1 species